UACGAAGGGGGCUAGCGUUGCUCGGAAUGACUGGGCGUAAAGGGCACGUAGGCGGCUCAUACAGUCAGAUGUGAAAUUCCUGGGCUUAACCUGGGGGCUGCAUUUGAUACGUGUGGGCUUGAGUGGGGAAGAGGGUCGUGGAAUUCCCAGUGUAGAGGUGAAAUUCGUAGAUAUUGGGAAGAACACCGGUGGCGAAGGCGGCGACCUGGUCCUUGACUGACGCUGAGGCGCGAAAGCGUGGGGAGCAAACAGG
rnacentral:rRNA from 1 species